rnacentral:rRNA from 1 species
AGAGUUUGAUCAUGGCUCAGGAUGAACGCUAGCGGGAGGCCUAACACAUGCAAGCCGAGCGGUAUUGUUUCUUCGGAAAUGAGAGAGCGGCGUACGGGUGCGGAACACGUGUGCAACCUGCCUUUAUCUGGGGGAUAGCCUUUCGAAAGGAAGAUUAAUACUCCAUAAUAUAUUGAUUGGCAUCAAUUAAUAUUGAAAGCUCCGGCGGAUAGAGAUGGGCACGCGCAAGAUUAGCUAGUUGGUGAGGUAACGGCUCACCAAGGCGAUGAUCUUUAGGGGCCUGAGAGGGUGAUCCCCCACACUGGUACUGAGACACGGACCAGACUCCUACGGGAGGCAGCAGUGAGGAAUAUUGGUCAAUGGGUGCAAGCCUGAACCAGCCAUCCCGCGUGAAGGACGACUGCCCUAUGGGUUGUAAACUUCUUUUGUAUAGGGAUAAACCCACCCUCGUGAGGGUAGCUGAAGGUACUAUACGAAUAAGCACCGGCUAACUCCGUG